GGAGUCUGGGCCGUGUCUCAGUCCCAAUGUGGCCGUCCGGCCUCUCAGCCCGGCUACUGAUCGUCGCUUUGGUGAGCCGUUACCUCACCAACUGGCUAAUCAGACGCGGGCCCAUCCCGUACCACCGGAGUUUUUCACACUGUGUGAUGCCACACCGUGCGCUUAUGCGGUAUUACCGGCCGUUUCCAGCCGCUAUCCCCCGGUACGGGGCAGGUUGCCCACGCGUUACUCACCCGUUCGCCACUAAGUUAACACAAGAUUUUGACCGAAGUCUCGUCAGCGUGUUAACCCCGUUCGACUUGCAUGUGUUAGGCACGCCGCCAGCGUUCAUCCUGAGCCAUGAUACAAACUCU
rnacentral:rRNA from 1 species